AAGGCCUUCGGGUUGUAAACCGUUUUCAGGAGGGACGAARCCRCUCGAGUUAAUAGCUCARAGGGUGACGGUACCUCCRGAAGAAGCCCCGGCUAACUACGUGSCRGCAGCCGCGGUAAUACGUASGGGGCRAGCGUUGUCCGGAUUUAUUGGGYGUAAAGAGMGUGUAGGCGGCCAGAUAAGUCUGACGUGAARUGUCKAGGCUCRACCUCSAAAGGUCGUUGGAAACUGUCUGGMUWGAGUCCGGAAGAGGAGAGUGGAAUUCCUGGUGUARCGRUGAAAUGCGCAGAUAUCAGGAAGAACACCUAUGGCGAAGGCWGCUCUCUGGGACGGURCUGACGCUGAGACGCGAAAGCGUGGGGAGCGAACAGGAUUAGAUACCCUGGUAGUCCACGCCGUARACGAUGAAUACUAGGUGUCGGGAGUCAAAUCUCGGUGCCGCAGUUAACGCAAUAAGUAUUCCACCUGGGGAGUACRAUCGCAAGAUUGAAACUCAAAGGAAUUGACGGGGGCCCGCACAAGCGGUGGAGCAUGUGGUUUAAUUCRAAGCGACGCGAAKAACCUUACCAAAUCUUGACAUCCUUCUGACCGACUCUUAAUCGAGUCUUUCCUUCKGGACAGAAGUGACAGGUGGUGCAUGGUUGUCGUCAGCUCGUGUCGUGAGAUGUUGGGUUAAGUCCCGCAACGAGCGCAACCCUUAUCUUUAGUAGCCAGCAUUKC
rnacentral:rRNA from 1 species